rnacentral:lncRNA from 1 species
CUUCAGUUCCUUGACAGAAAACUUGAGUGCCAACUACCACUUUUACUCAGAAAUGAUGACAUCGUUCUUUGUGCAUUGUACAUGUUUUUUUUCACCCUGUGGAGCACGUAUUUUAUUUUCAGUGGAGCCCUGGCGUUAUAUCAUCAGUCUCAUCCCAUCGGAGAUCUAUCAUGCAGGUAACACACUCAAGGACCCAGAGCACUUCAUAUUAAAGGGACUCUCACCUUUGUUGCUUUUUUACACUUUUUUUGGAUAAGGUUAAAUGGUAUUAAUAAGGUAAUAACACUCUAAUAUGCAAGACAGACCCACCAGGAGUAAAAACAAACAAUUAUUUUACAACUAGAGGGUUUGUUUUGAUUCCACGGCAGACAGUAGCGAGUAGCGACCGUAGCGACAGUAGCGACUGACGAUGGCAGACCAAAGUGGUCCACGGCGUACUGAAACUGCACCAUUCAGUCCGAUUAGGGGACUCAUCUCGGACUCAGACUCACAGAGUAACCCUCCUCUGGAGCCUCAGGAAGACCUCCAGACUGUUGGCCACCAACUGCACCAUUCAGUCCGAUUAGGGGACUCAUCUCGGACUCGGACUCACGGAGUUACCCUCCUCUGGAGCCUCAGGAAGACCUCCAGACUGUUGGCCACCAACUGCACCAUUCAGUCCGUUUAGGGGACUCAUCUCGGACUCAGACUCACAGAGUUACCCUCCUCUGGAGCCUCAGGAAGACCUCAAGACUGUUGUCCACCAACUGCACCAUUCAGUCCGACAAGGGGACCCGAUUCGGCCUCAGAAGCCAAGUUGUCCCGCUACUCUGGAGCUCCAGGAAGACCUCCAGACCGUUGGCACCCAACCGCACCACUCAGUCCGAUUACGGGACCCAUUUCGGACUCAGACGCGACGUUGUCCCGCUACUCUGGAGCUCCAGGAAGACCUCCAGACCGUUGGCACCCAACCGCACCACUCAGUCCGAUUACGGGACCCAUUUCGGACUCAGACGCGACGUUGUCCCGCUACUCUGGAGCUCCAGGAAGACCUCCAGACCGUUAGCAACCAACCGCCACACUCAGUCCGAUUACGGGAACCAUUUCGGACUCAGACGCGACGUUGUCCCGCUACUCUGGAGCUCCAGGAAGACAUCCAGACCGUUGGCAACCAACCGCCACACUCAGUCCGAUUACGGGACCCAUUUCGGACUCAGACGCGACGUUGUCCCGCUACUCUGGAGCUCCAGGAAGACCUCCAGACCGUUGGCAACCAACCGCCACACUCAGUUCGAUUACGGGACCCAUUUCGGACUCAGACGCGACAUUGUCCCUCUACUCUGGAGCUCCAGGAAGACCUCCAGACCGUUGGCAACCAACCGCCACACUCAGUCCGAAAUGGGUCCCGUAAUCGGACUGAGUGUGGCGGUUGGUUGCCAACGGUCUGGAGGUCUUCCUGGAGCUCCAGAGUAGCGGGACAACGUCGCGUCUGAGUCCGAAAUGGGUCCCGUAAUCGAACUGAGUGUGGCGGUUGGUUGCCAACGGUCUGGAGGUCUUCCUGGAGCUCCAGAGUAGCGGGACAACGUCGCGUCUGAGUCCUAAAUGGGUACCGUAAUCGGACUGAGUGUGGCGGUUGGUUGCCAACGGUCUUGAGGUCUUCCUGGAGCUCCAGAGUAGCGGGACAACGUCGCGUCUGAGUCCGAAACGGGUCCCCUAAUCGGACUGAGUGGUGCGGUUGGUUGCCAACGGUCUGGAGGUCCUGAGAAUCAUCCAGGGGAGCGGGACCACUUGGCUUCUGAGGCCAAAUCGGGUCCCCUUGUCGGACUGAAUGGUGCAGUUGGUGGCCAACAGUCUGGAGGUCUUCCUGAGGCUCCAGAGGAGGGUAACUCUGUGAGUCUGAGUCCGAGAUGAGUCCCCUAAUCAGACUGAAUGGUGCAGUUUCAGUACGCCGUGGACCACUUUGGUCUGCCAUCGUCAGUCGCUACGGUCGCUACUCGCUACUGUCUGCCGUGGAAUCAAAACAAACCCUCUAGUUGAGGACGCGCCUUGAUGACGCGGGCCCGAAUGCGCCACAAGAAGCAGACGGAAAACCUUAUAUAUCCAUGCAGCAAACAGACAGGUCUGUCGGCCAAUAAGGUCAUUCGGUCCGAAGAAUUUUAUUGGUUGAAGUUUUCACUAAAUAUUAUGAGAGUAAAAUAAUUGUUUGUUUUUACUCCUGGUGGGUCUGUCUUGCAUAUUAGAGUGUUAUUACCUUAUUAAUACCAAUUUAACCUUAUCCAAAAAAAGUGUAAAAAUGCAACAAAGGUAAGAGUCCCUUUAACAAAGUAGAAAACUCUCGUAGGGAAAGAAAACAUACUUCCAUCAGGUGUAAAAAAUAAAGAUCAAUAAUGCAUUGGUAAUACUGUUCACAACAAUGGUCUUGCCAUCAAGCUUUUUGAAUUGAUUUGAAGGGGAGACUUGGGGAGACUCCCCCCCCCCCCCCCCCCCGCUUCUUGACCACCUUGACUUAGACAUUUACUGGGGGAAACACUGUAAUGUAUUAAUUGAAUUCAAGUAUGUUUUGGUAAAUACGUUUCUUGAGGAAAAGAAAGCAAUGAAGACAUUUUUUUUGUUUUGUUAUUAUCAUAAGCUAUGUAGGCUCUGUACAAUGUUAAUGGUGAAGAGCUAAAAAGUUAAAAGAGAAAACAUUUGUUCUUCCACAUGAUAAACAGCAACAGAAUAAAAGAGAAAUACAAACAAACAAAAACAGGUGACUAUUUUUUAUUAUUCAAUAGCCAAUCAUCUCAUUGUCACAAUGGUGUACGCAGGGAGGGAACCACCUUCCUAAGUCAGCCCAAGUGUUGAGUGAAAAAGAGGACAGGGAUCAGCAGAACAGGGGUUGUUUUUCUUGUUCUUUAAAGUUGAGGUCAUUCUGUUUUUUUUUUGUUUUUUUUAAUCAUAGAUGGCGGUAGGUGAUUCCAUGCUAUCAUGGCUUCGAUACGCUAAAGCCUCGGAGUGAAGCUGUUUAUCUCUCCUGGUCCUCUCAGCCAGCUCAGACACACGUUAUUCACAUUGGACCUAAAGGUGUAUCAGAGAGACAGUUAGUGAAACAUGGUCAGCUACAGCUAGUGAAACACAGAGCAGCCCUGCUUGCUGAUCAUUGUAGCACCAGAACCACAAUAUAGGUGUGUAAGGGUUUGUAGGACUUGUCGAUUGUGAUAUAAAUAGGAACGAGCGCUUCCUUACUAUAGAUGUGUUACUUCUCAUUUUAUAAACCAGACUAUCCACACUAUAAGUAUGUACUGCCAUAACAUUUAUGUUGAGGGCAUUUAGCAAACGAUUUCAUCCAAAGCGAGUUAUAAUAAGUACAUUGUCGGAAGAAGGAUAAACAAUAUAUUGCAGUCGGUACAGUACGGCUGUUCAUAGAACCAAGUGCCAAGCACCAAUAAUCGCUAGGUUAACCCAUUCCCUGCAUACAAGAAAGCUAUCUUGGAUAAGAUGCUACACAACUAAGUACUAUUUUUAUGUGCCAGGACGUACAACAUACAAUAUGUGCGUACAUUAAGUGCCAGGACGUAGAACAUACAAUAAGUGUGUACAUUAAGUGCCAGGAUGUACAACAUACAAUAAGUGCGUAGGGAGGGUGUCUAUGCAGAGUCUAGGUGAACUCCUGCUCAGCAGUCACACCCUCCAUCAACAGAUUGGGUUGGGGACCCGAUGUCAACGAGUGAUCUGUUCCAAAUGCAGUGCUUUGAGUGUUUGAUAUGCUUAAUACAAGUUGGUGGUUUGUGGCACAUUGAUGAACUGACUGCAGCUCUUUGUUGCGGGUUAGUGUGAUUUCCUCAUCGGUUGGAGCUGGUUUAUAUAUUGUAGUCGUCUGCAUACAUAGCCAUAGAGGCUUUUUGACGUGCUAGUGGGAGAUCAUUGGUGACAUGGAGUAGAGCAGUGGUUCCCAACCGUUGACAUUAGUUGAUCAGCUAAAUAAACAGAAAAUAAUAAUGAAUACAGAUGUAGUGCCUGAAUCCCCAUUAUACUAAAUGAUGACUGCAAGAAGGCCACGGCCAGUUGGAAACAGUGGGUGUAAAAAGUCAGCCACCCUGCUUAUGCCCCCAGUGUUCCUUCAGCAAACACUGAUUAACGAAAACAUCAAUGGAAUACAUUAUAACGGAAAACAUCAUGUAAUGCACAGGGUAACAAUGUUUUGGAAAUAAAAACAAGCCAGAAUGAUAUAUCUACUGAAAAAGAAUUACAACAUAUUUUCAAUUAGCUAUAUAAAAUGAUAAAAGGGUUCUUUUUUUGUUAAUAAAAGGCCAGGUAUGACCUGAGGUACCUUUGCACACUUCCAGAGGUACCUGUACGCCUUAGAUGAGUAAUAGGUGUUGGCUGUUAAAGUUGAGAACAUGAAGGUCAAACUAAUUGCAUUUAAAAUUGAAAAACACAUAACCGUCGUUUCUCAAAC